UUUUAUGCUCGACUGAUAAAAGACACGACUCACAACAUAUGUUUCUGUUGAAGAUUUUAUGAUAGUUAUAAUAAAAAGCAAAGUGAUCAUGCUCCGAUGAGAAUGGUCAACAAGAUCAAUUUGCUAACGAGAUCACAUUUGAUAGUUGUGGUGAUUGAUGAGAUUGGCCGUGACAUUGGUUCAGAGCAGAUGGCUGAGUUACUUGGGGAUGCAGGAAAUAGUGGAGCUUCGAGGGUAUCGUUUUGUAUAGGUGGAGCUUAUGGACAUGGAAGAGAAGUGAGGAAGUGAGGAAGCGAGCUAAUGUGACUAUUAGACUGUCCUCUAUGGUUCUGAAUCAUCAGAUAGCUCUUGUGGUACUGAUGGAACAGCUUUACAGGGCAUAGACUAUUCUCAAGGGACAAAAUUACCAUCAUUGAUGAUGCAUGAAUCUGUUUUUUGGGUUCCUCUGUUGCUUUCUCCUGUAUAAAGAAACUACAUUACCAAAUAGCUUAUUUGGUGGUAGUUGUAUCAGAGAUUGUUUAUUGAACGUCGAACUUUUGCAAUCCAAAUUUGCUUGCUUCUUAUUUAUUUCAGA